AGAGUUUGAUCCUGGCUCAGGACGAACGCUGGCGGCGUGCCUAAUACAUGCAAGUCGAACGCACUCUCGUUUAGAUUGAAGGAGCUUGCUCCUGAUUGAUAAACAUUUGAGUGAGUGGCGGACGGGUGAGUAACACGUGGGUAACCUGCCCUAAAGUGGGGGAUAACAUUUGGAAACAGAUGCUAAUACCGCAUAAAACCUAACACCGCAUGGUGUAGGGUUGAAAGAUGGUUUCGGCUAUCACUUUAGGAUGGACCCGCGGUGCAUUAGUUAGUUGGUGAGGUAAAGGCUCACCAAGACCGUGAUGCAUAGCCGACCUGAGAGGGUAAUCGGCCACACUGGGACUGAGACACGGCCCAGACUCCUACGGGAGGCAGCAGUAGGGAAUCUUCCACAAUGGACGAAAGUCUGAUGGAGCAACGCCGCGUGAGUGAAGAAGGUUUUCGGAUCGUAAAACUCUGUUGUUGGAGAAGAAUGUAUCUGAUAGUAACUGAUCAGGUAGUGACGGUAUCCAACCAGAAAGCCACGGCUAACUACGUGCCAGCAGCCGCGGUAAUACGUAGGUGGCAAGCGUUGUCCGGAUUUAUUGGGCGUAAAGCGAGCGCAGGCGGUUUCUUAAGUCUGAUGUGAAAGCCUUCGGCUCAACCGAAGAAGUGCAUCGGAAACUGGGAAACUUGAGUGCAGAAGAGGACAGUGGAACUCCAUGUGUAGCGGUGAAAUGCGUAGAUAUAUGGAAGAACACCAGUGGCGAAGGCGGCUGUCUGGUCUGUAACUGACGCUGAGGCUCGAAAGCAUGGGUA
rnacentral:rRNA from 1 species